rnacentral:hammerhead_ribozyme from 1 species
UUCCAGCUGACGAGUCCCAAAUAGGAUGAAACGUGCGUCCUGUAU